UGGGGAAUAUUGCACAAUGGGCGCAAGCCUGAUGCAGCAACGCCGCGUGAACGAUGAAGGUCUUCGGAUCGUAAAGUUCUGUUGCAGGGGAAGAUAAUGACGGUACCCGGUGAGGAAGCCCCGGCUAACUACGUGCCAGCAGCCGCGGUAAUACGUAGGGGGCUAGCGUUAUCCGGAUUUACUGGGCGUAAAGGGUGCGUAGGUGGUCUUUCAAGUCGGUGGUUAAAGGCUACGGCUCAACCGUAGUUAGCCUCCGAAACUGGAAGACUUGAGUGCAGGAGAGGAAAGUGGAAUUCCCAGUGUAGCGGUGAAAUGCGUAGAUAUUGGGAGGAACACCAGUAGCGAAGGCGGCUUUCUGGACUGCAACUGACACUGAGGCACGAAAGCGUGGGUAGCAAACAGG
rnacentral:rRNA from 1 species